rnacentral:rRNA from 1 species
UACGUAGGGGGCUAGCGUUGUCCGGAUUUAUUGGGCGUAAAGAGCGUGUAGGCGGCCAGGUAGGUCUGCUGUGAAAACUCGAGGCUCAACCUCGAGACGUCGGCGGAAACCAUCUGGCUAGAGUCCGGAAGAGGAGAGUGGAAUUCCGUGGAUGUAGCGGUGAAAUGCGCAGAUAUCAGGAGGAACACCGGUGGCGAAGGCGGGUCUCUGGGCCGGAACUGACGCUGAGGUGCGAAAGCGUGGGGAGCGAACAGG